GCGGGCGAGCGGGCAGCAGGCUGGAGGGGCCGCGGCGGCGCCGGGGGUGCCAGCCGCCUCCUCUGGCCGCCGGCCCGUCGGCCCUGCAAAGUUUAAAGCCAAUUCCCUUUGCGUCCUGGGAGCCGAGCGUUUUCUCUCUCUGCUGACACUCCCAGCAGCCCUGCCUGGCCAGGCCAGGCUGGAGAGCACCCGGACCAUUUUCCAGACGGUGAGAUGGAGGCCUGGAAACCGAGCUUAUGAGCAGCCCGGAGCUUUCCAUUGCCUGCUCAGCCUUCCAGAUACAUCCCAGUUCCAGUUCUCUCCAGGCCCCUCUGGGAUCCAGCCAGCCUGCUUCCCCGCCAGGGCCCCGCUGCUUCCAAAAUGGGCCUGUGCAGCGUCAUUCAGGAAGCCCGUGGUACUCACAUCACUUUGGCCAGAUGCUAACAAGAAAAUGAUCCACUGUGACGCAGCUGACCCCAUCCAGUGCAUCCACAUUACCUGGAAAGAAGCAAUUAUGCCCCUUUGGUUUCCUUGGAAAUGCUCGGUCUGUCUGUACCAUCCUCCCUGGCUCUUGAGAAAUACCCAUGCACAGUGGAGCUUUGACAGGGAAGCAGUGCGUUUACUUUCAAACUGAAAGUUUACAGAAUACAAAGUGAGCCUAUAAGAUGGAUGGCCAUUCUCCAGAGGCUUGUUGGCCAGACAGGAAGGAAAACCAGUGCACCAUCAGGAAUGUGGAGGAGACUGAAAGAGAGGGACAAACAUAUUGGAUUGCAUCGGGCCCCCACAGUCAAGUUCCUGCAAACCCAGCUGGGAUAUUUUCCUGACUAAGGGUUAUGGUCUUGGGCCUCAAAGGUGAGAAGAAAAAUCAAUUAAAGAUACUGUGUAUAUUUAUACACUCUGUUGGCAUUAGAAACUGUAACACAUACAUUUUUCAGUCCAUAAAGAACAGGCUGCAUCAGCACAGCGAUACACAUGUAUGGGUUUUUCUAAGACUUUUGUGUUUGGGGACCCCACAAGUCCAUGUGCCCUUUGGAAUCAGCAGGUUUAUUUGGAGUCAGACGUAUCAGAGCUCUCUCCUAUGUGAGUAACUUUUAAAAGUCGAUUUACUUGUCGUUUAAGGUGAAGAAUAUUAGUAACUAGUUCCUAGGGUUGUUAUGGGAGUAAAAGAGGGGAUGCAUGUUCAGUGCUGAACUGAUUACCCAGCCUGUAGUAGGUGCUCAAUAAACAGGAGCAACGAUUAAGGAUUAUAUAAAUUGUACAUGAAAAAUGGAACCCAAAUACUAGAAAAAUCUCUUCUCUCAUAGGGUUUAUUAGGUGUCUUCAUGGAUGUCUAGACCCAGAGGAAAGUCCAGCUGGGGUUAAGGCUGCAGAAUAAGUAAAACUUCCAAACCCAUCAGGGGCUUGGUCAAUCUGACCCAUUUUUUUUGUGUGAGCCUCCUCACUCAAAAUUAACUGAGGCAGCACUGUUCUGUUCAAUUACAGGAACAUUCUCCAGCCCUUCGACUUCCUCUCAAAUCUCACCCCUCUCUUAGUAUGGAAUAUUGAAAAGGCCAGACUGGGUCAGGUCCCUACUGAUCAAUAGCCUGUCCUUUCUCUCAGCUCCCCAGUCAAAGCCCAGCCUCUGUGCCAGGGAGGACACAAGAGGACAGAGACAGCGUCUGUGUCAGGAGGAGGGAAGAAGGACUAAUGUCUGCGGACCCUCCGAGGCUCACAGGGAGAAGCCACACACUCACAGCACCAGGUCUGUGGUUUUUCAUGACCCCACACUGUCCCCUAGAAGGAAGUACCACCCAGCAGAAACAGAAGCCAAGGAAUUUCCCCAUAGAGAUCAUGGCAUGGGCUUGAGCUCAAUGGACAGUGGGCGGAAAUUGGAAAGCCCAGAGCCUCCACCACUAAGUCCUGUGUGACUUCUGUAAGUCCCUUGCCCACUCUGAUUCUUAAUUCACCCAUAUGAAAAAUUAGGAAAAAUGAUCUCUCAGUUCUGAAAUUCAAUAAUUCUAUGAUGUCAGCAACUGGACCCAAGAGAUGAUGAGUUCUACUAUGGUUGUCUUGAUGAAAGUAAAAGCUGACUUUUUUUAAGCAGCUGCUUAGAGUUUACCACUUGAUAGUUCAUGUAAUCCUUACAACCACUCUAGAAGGUUAGUAUUAUUAUAACCCAAACUCCUACCUUAUCCUAUAGGACCCAUCUGAUCUGGUCUCUCCUCCCUAUUUGGCCUUAUCUCGUACCUCCUUUUAUAAAGCCCCAGCUGCAAGGAUUCUAAUCUUAGAUCUUUCCAGGACUUUUCUCUUGCUGCGCCCCUGCCUGGAAGGCCUUUCCUUCUGAUAUAUAAGCAGCUGGCUCUUUCUCCUCUUUCUGUGGCUGGCUAGACUGGCAUCUCAUCAGAGAGAACAACCUUGGCUUUAAAUCUUUCUUAGCCUAUAUCACUAUCUACAAUGAUCUCUCUUAUUUAUGUGUUUGCAGGUAUAUUAUCUCUGUUCUCCCACUUGACUUUAAGCUCAAUGAAUGCCAGGACCCUUAAAACAAAGCACAUAGCAAGUUUUCAGUGAAGUCUUGUUAAUUUUCAAAUGGAGGAAUAAAUGAACGACUAUAUUUCCACUUCGCAGAUGAGUAAACAGAGGCUCGGAGGGGUGAUGAAAUUUGCCAACAGUCACCGAUCAGUAAGUAUGACAGAAGUAGGACUGGAACCCAGGGCUGUCUGACCUCUGGCUUGAGUCUAUAACCACUUGGCCAUACUGCCUUUCAGUUCCAGGAACAGGUGAUGCUUCCUGGCAGUGAGAUUCUAAACCAGCGGGAGUUCCCAGCCAGAGACAUGAUCUAAGUGCCAAUGGCUGAAUGUCUGUGAGCAUUUGAAGUCAUUGUAAGAACAGGCAACGUUAGCGGCACCAUUAAAGCCUGCUGUUCCUCCAGCCCAUCACUGCCAUCCCCACCUAUUAAAAUAAUGGUAUGAAAAAUAAACAGCCUUUAUGGACAAUUUUAUACAGUGCACGCAUUGUUUGUUUCUCUUACUGUUUCCAUGGCAGUGACGUUUGUUCUCAGGAUAACUUCAGGUUGCUGCAUGAUGGAAGGGAAUGGAAUAAAAUUACUUGAGAGGAAAUUGCCAAGCACAGACUUUUUCUUCUUCAGAUGCCCCACACCCCAGCACUUAACAGCAGCCACACCCUGAAGUCUUAAGCACAGGAUAAAGGCUUCCCCUUAACCUACAGCCUUCCAUGGCUCCCCAGUUCCCAUAAUAUGAACCCCAUGGAUCUAAGCCUGGCUGUAAGACCUUUGCUACCUGGCUUCCUCUCCUACCCUUUCUCUCUUUGCUAUAUAGCCCUGCCUAUAGGCAAUUUCCCUCCUCAUUUUGUCCCUUCUCCCUAGAAUUUUUUCACCAACCCACGUUUGUUCAUGCUGUUCAGGGUACCUGGGCUAUCCACCUUCCCCCAACCUCUCUACCAGAGAAAACUGCUAUUCAUUUUUC
rnacentral:lncRNA from 10 species